CCCCCCCAAAUACUUCCAAUACUUAAUGUUGGUCAUGAUGAGUAUGCGUGCCAAGUUUGGCCAAAUCCAUAAUCUGGGAUUUUACAGGGCUCUCUGGAUUUGGGUGAACUAUAAUUCCCAACAUCAAGGAUCAAUUCCUUCCAAACCCAGACAGUAUUUUCUGUUGGUCAUGGUGGGUAUGUGUGCGCCACGUUUGGUCCAGGUCCGCCAUUGGCAGGAGUCAUAGGCGUUCUGAUAGUAUAAGGAUGUGGGUGAACUACAACUCCCAUCCUGCUGGGGCAAUCCCCCUCAAACUCCCAACGUUAUUUUAAGCUGGUCAUGUUGGGUAUAUGUGGCAAGUUUGGUCCAUAUCUAUUGCCAACUGGGUUCACAAACUUUCCCUGGAUGUGGGUGAACUAUAACUCCCAUCCUCCUGGGUCAGUCCUCCAAACAGCACUGAUAUUUAAAGUUGGCCAUGUUGGGCAUGUUUGCCAACUUUGGUCCUGGUCUCUAGUUGGUGGUCUCCAUAGUGUGGGAUAAACUAUAAUUCCCAAAAUCUGAGAGCUGGCUAUUAAAAAUAGGACUAAGUCCAAUGCUGUUUCAAUAUUACGAACUCUUCAUAUUGACCUCAAAAUAUUCUUAUCCUGAAUUGCUGCAACUGAAAGCCAAGCAAGCAAUUGAAUAAUUUCCUGCAUUGUACAUCUGUCUCCAUUAUUGAACUAUGUCUCCCUAUCCCUUUCCCUUUGAUGACAGAGUUGCAUUUGCUUUACUCAGUCUCUGUCUCCAGUUCCAAAACAAAGUUGCAGGCAGGAAGCAGCCAGGCUUUGAAGCUGCAAUGCUAAUCAAGGUGGCCAAUUGAAACAUUCACAACUCAGCCAGACAAGAGUUUUUUCUCCCACCCCGGACAUUUCCACACUUGCCCAAUUUCCAAUAAACUUCACAACCUCUGAGGAUGCCUGCCACAUGUGUGGGCAAAAUGUCAGGAGAUGAUGCUUCUGUAAAGUGACCAUACAGCCAGAAAUGAAAGCACUGGCUUUCAUAUACUUGCCAUUAUACUACAUUGUUGGCCCGACGGCAGGCCUCCAAAAAUUCGUUUCGAAGAAACGGAAGACUAUCAUCCUCGAACGACAAAGAACGGCGCAAGUAAAAAAAAAACCUCAGCAAGAAGAGACCUCCUUUUACAUUACGACGUACACCCAACGCUUCCGCUCUGAUCGCAUGCCUUGCUCCCAACAAACAAGAGGAGUCGUAACGCUAUAAAAAGCGAAUUCUUUUUCAAGUGCUUACUCUACGAUUUCCCCUGUAAAGUCAAGUUGAAAAUCCUCACGCAAUGCCUCAUGGGCUGUAUGCAAAUGAACCCGGUCGCACCCUUCUGAGGUUUCCGAGGCGGUCCCAAACGGUGCCGGAUUCAUUCUCAGUUAAAAACUGUACAAGCCUUCAUGGGCGACACAACUAAUUGUCAUGUUUUUUUAUUUUUUGGCAACGGAUGCUCAAGGAGUUUUUGCCAGUCCCAUACAUAAUUCAAACGCCCAGGAACAUGGAACCACCUUCUUUCCUGCAGCGAAUAUAUUUUGAACUAUUUUGAACCACUGAGUUCUGUGGUUUGAUUUUACAUGGAAACAAAUAGAGUUGGGAGGACAAUAGGCUGCCCCUACUUUUUUCCCCCGACCCAUGGCUGAAUGUCAUGGAAUUCUUGUGGGUGGCUUCUCUCAUGUGUUGUGCCCUGCUCAAGACAUAAGGAAAGAUCUCAAGGUGCCUGGAGAUUUCCACUAAGGAUCCACUCAAGAUACAGAUGUUGUAGGCCUUCCGCCAACCCGACUCACGGGGCGAUGGUUAGCACGGGGCAAUUCCCAAGCAGCAAACCAGCAAGACCGUCUCCCGGUCUGAUAAAGCGGCUGCCGGCAGUGGGGCAGAUCAGGUCGUCCGGGCAAAGCGGAAGAUGGUGACGUGCUGAUGGUGGUAAGGCAUGCUUCGCCCAUAAGAGCCUUUCAGCUUCACCAUAGCUAAGAAACUGUCUCUUAUUAAUACCUUCCUCACAAAGGGGAAGAUAAAUAGGCUGAUUCUUUAGCUCUCUGUCAAUGACACAUCUUCAGAAAUCCACUGCUCAGUUAAGGGAAUGUGUGCAACCUUCUAAAAAAGAAACAACUAUUUUUGUUUGUUUGCAUGUUUGUUUGUUUUUGUUUGUGGAAAAAAACAUGAAUUUUAACCAUAUUUUAUAACCCUGGGUAACUUAACAGAUGCACUCUUGGUUAAGUUAAGCUGCACAACCGGAACUCUCAAACAACCGGUACAAAAAAAAAAAAUCAAAGAAAUAAUACUGCAUUCACCAAGUUGAAUAAUGCAAUAAACUGUGCUACAUUAAAUUAAGUUUGUCUUAAUUUGCCUUUAAUUACUGUAUUAAUGCAGCUUGACACCACUUGAUCUGCCACAGCCCAAUUCUAUAGAAUCAUUGGUGUCGUAGUUUGAUAAGGCCUUUAGCUUUCUCUGCCUAAGAAUGCUGCUGACUCAGUAAACUACAAUUUGCAGGACCUCAUAACAAUUGAGCCAUGGACAAAAUUAAAGUAGGUGCACUCUGGACUCCACAAACAAUGGAUCUAGACAAAGUUGUAUACCACAAUAAAAUGGUGCUACAUUAAGAUUA